rnacentral:misc_RNA from 1 species
UUAGUGUAAUAUCAUAUUUGUGUCAUAAACAUACAAUGUGUUGAUCGAAUCGGUCUAAAAUAUUUAUUUUGUUACUAAUACAAAACGUAAUGUUUGUAAUAAAGUUCGCAUAAAUAACAGAAUAUAAAAGUGAAUAACAGAAAAUAAAAUAAAAAAGUAACAAAAAAAUAAUAAAACAUUUAUUUUACAUUAAUUCUAAGUGCCAAUUUUUAUACCUUUUGUGAAAUCUUAAAUAUGACUAUUUAUAAAGAAUCAACAAAUAUGUUUUCUGUAAUAAUAAUUAUGUCAUUACUGAUAUUAUUUUGCAAUGGCGAUCAAUUUGUAGUAAAUAAUAUUACGAGUGUUAAUAAUCCGGAAUCAACAACAAUCAACGUUGCUGAAAAUCUUGAGAAAGAGUACGUAAGUACAUUUACGUACAUAAAUACGUUAUACACUGAGACGACAACACCAGCUUCAGAGUUGGAUAAUUUCCCAAAAGACUGUUCUCAAAGACAAAAACGCAAAAACCUUUAUCGACAUAAAAAUUCGCGCCUAAAGAAAUGUUGCCCCAUUGGCGAAAGCCUAAGCAUGAGUGAAGAGAAUCAAAGCGGGGCGAUGUGUGGAUCCGCGAACCUGCAAUUUACACCAAACCUCAUUAAUGUAACACUGUUUGACAAUUGCAUUGAAGAUAUGGAGACUGAGUAUACACUGCCUUUAGAAAUUGGAAAUCCCUGUAAUACAUCAAUCUUAUAUAACGAUGUAGAUGAUUUGUUUUUUGUCGUUCAAGAUGGCUCGUUACUUGUAAUGGAUUUAUAUGCAAACGAUUCGUAUGAAUUGUAUAAUAAUUAUUGCAUUGAUAUAAGUAAUAUAUCCGGCAUUACAUUCGCCAUUGUUUGUAUUACAUCGGUGGCAGAGCAUAUUAGUCGCAGUCAGAUUGUCGUCGUUGCCAUUCUAAUGCUAUUAUCUAUACCCUGUCUUAUAUUAGUCGCUUACCUACAUUUGCGAAUAAAGGAACUACGAUCUUUACAUGGAACAAUUCUGAGCUGUAUGUCAUCUUCAUUAGCAACAGGUUUCUUUCUAUACUUUCUAGUACAUAUAUUUAAUUUGGAUGAACGUAAUGUGGGAUAUGUCGUCCAAUUUUUUUUAUUAUCGUAUUACUUUUGGUUUUUCUCGUUGUGCUGUAAUGUUUCAUUAAAUAUAAGGAUUCAUAUUCCAUUAAAUAAGAAGAAAUCGAAAUUAAUAACAAGUCUAUAUUUUGGUUUUUAUUGUAUAAUGUCAUUGAUUGGAGCUGUUAUUCUGGUUAUUUUAACUAUUCAAAAGGGUCUUCCUGGAAUGCCCUCGUACUUUAUACAGGGUUAUACUGAAUCAAUCCGGGAAUCACAACGAUAUUUCAUACCUCCAGUAUCUACCUUGCUUCUAUUUAGCUUUAUAGUGAUGGCAUCUGCUUUCUUUGGAUUUCAAAAACUAAAAUCUCAAGGUGUUAUUGUAAAUUCAAAUGACGAGGAUCUCAACAAUCCAUUAUACGAUGAAAACAUUUUUCAAGAAGUUAAAAAAGACGCAAAGUGUAUUAGCUUACUAGGAUUAAUACUUAUAUCCACAUGGCUGUUGGAAAUAGUUACAUUCUACUCGCCAGGACCACAGAUUUACCUUAUAUUAAUGGAUAUGAUAAAUGGUCUUCAAGGAGUAUUUGUGUUGCUUAUUUUCUUAGUUAUACGAAGAAGACGUACAAUAAUUUUUCGAUGGUGGAACGACAGGGGGUCGCAUACUAUUGAAAAAAUAGAAUUAAAUUCAAUUUAGAUUCGUAUAUUUUAUAAUUUUUAAAUUAUAUACAUUAGACCCACUCACAAAAAAAAUGGUUUUUGUUCGUUGUUAUGUCAUAUGAUGUUACCAAAAAUAUUUCUAAUGUAUUGAUAGCCGUUCGUGAACUGGAUCGAUUACAAAAAGGGCCCGUAUUAAAUAUAUUGUUUCAAACCAAAACUAUAAUUGAAAAAAAUAAUUCGAAAAAUCUUUUUUUUUUUAAAUUUGAUCGCGUUUUUAUUUCUUAUACAGAGUGAGUUGGUCUAAUUGCCGGUCCACAUUAAGAAACUUUUUUUGGGAAACUUUUGAUUUUGCGUGAGAGAGAAAGAGAGAGAAUAUCAUUCAAUUCUCUCGCGGUAAGGAGUUUCCCAUUCUCGGAAACUUGUUUUGUUUUGUUAUUCUUCUCAUUGGUACAACAACAAAUCAAUGCAAUUUACACGUAGUUUCUGAAACAAAAGUUUCUAUGUGUGGACAUUAAGGAAACUUUAAAUGAGAA